CUCAGUCGGACCGCCUUUACUUGGCUAGACGGUUCUCCGAUCCACCUACACUUCUAAUGUUAGCGGCGGGCA